rnacentral:sRNA from 1 species
CACAGCUCUUCUACUCCACCGCUGUCUAUCUUGCCUGCCAGCACCCAGCCACCAUGUGGGAGCUCGUGGCUCUCUUGCUGCUUACACUAGCUUAUUUGUUUUGGCCCAAGAGAAGGUGCCCUGGUGCCAAGUACCCCAAGAGCCUCCUGUCCCUGCCCCUGGUGGGCAGCCUGCCAUUCCUCCCCAGACAUGGCCAUAUGCAUAACAACUUCUUCAAGCUGCAGAAAAAAUAUGGCCCCAUCUAUUCCGUUCGUAUGGGCACCAAGACUACAGUGAUUGUCGGCCACCACCAGCUGGCCAAGGAGGUGCUUAUUAAGAAGGGCAAGGACUUCUCUGGGCGGCCUCAAAUGGAAUUGGGAGUAGGAGGCCUUAGGGUCUGUCCUACCAAGUCCUUGCAGUCAUGGUGGAGUGCAGUGGGGCUGUGCCCACAUGGGAGUCAGCAUGCCAGGUACCUGCCUUCUCCUCCAGGAAGGAAAGCAGGGACCAGAGGUGUAAGGGCAAGAGUGGGGUGGAUGGUGUGUGAUUCCUACAGCCUUGCCUGCUCUCUAAAGGCAACUCUAGACAUCGCGUCCAACAACCGUAAGGGUAUCGCCUUCGCUGACUCUGGCGCACACUGGCAGCUGCAUCGAAGGCUGGCAAUGGCCACCUUUGCCCUGUUCAAGGACGGCGAUCAGAAGCUGGAGAAGAUCAUUUGUCAGGAAAUCAGUACAUUGUGUGAUAUGCUGGCCACCCACAACGGACAGUCCAUAGACAUCUCCUUUCCUGUCUUCGUGGCGGUAACCAAUGUCAUCUCCUUGAUCUGCUUCAAUACCUCCUACAAGAAUGGGGACCCUGAGUUGAAUAUUAUACAGAAUUACAAUGAAGGCAUCAUAGACAACCUGAGCAAAGACAGCCUGGUGGACCUAGUCCCCUGGUUGAAGGUGAGAUGAUACCACACCCUGCCUUCAGGUUCUAGUAGACCCUGACAGUGUCCCCAAUCUUCCUUCCUUUUUACUUCCCUGCUCCAGCCGCAAUGACCCAUCUUUUUCCUGAUUACCUCCGCCACCUCUACCUCCUCUGCCACUUAAAACCUUUGCCAUUUCUCUGCAGAGAUAGAUUUAGCCUUUUAAUUAUGCACCUUAGUACUCCAGAUAAUGACCUUCAUUUCUUUUCCAAUUACCAUGUGCCAGUACUAAGCAUUCUAUACGCAUUCAUCGCUGAAUUCCCCUUGGAAGUAGGUUUUAUUAUCCCCAUUGUGCAGGUGAGAAGCAGGCUUAGCGGGGUUAAGGAGCUUGUCUGAGCCUUCAGGCUCAUGUCUCUCUCACUCCUAAGGGCUGGACACAUAGCAGAGUCAGCGCUUGAUGUUUGAUUGAAUGGGGAAGGAGAGGUGGAGACCAGGCCCUCCUCCCUUGUUUAGAAUUGUCUUCGUCGUCAUGAUAAACCCGUUCUGUGUCCCCAUCUUGCCUUCCAUUCUGGCUGAAGGUCAGGGGUGGAGUAGGAACUUCCAGAGACAGAAAGCUAAGAUCCGCCUCCAGGAGAGACUCUGGCAGCUGGAGAAGCAAAAUGGAAGAAGGGUGGAUUUAACAUUUCUUUUUAUUUCCCAGAUUUUCCCCAACAAAACCCUGGAAAAAUUAAAGAGCCAUGUUAAAAUACGAAAUGAUCUGCUGAAUAAAAUACUUGAAAAUUACAAGGUAGGUGAUAGAGCAGAAGAGAAUAUGAGUUAGGCUAAAAGUAAUCACAAGAGCAGGGUGGGGUCCAUUCUACACACUGUAGAAGCUUCAAAACCAAGCAGAGAACCUGGCACAUAGUAGGUGUACAAUAAAAACUGACUUAAGGGCUGGGCGCGGUGGCUCACGCCUGUAAUCCCAACACUUUGGGAGGCCGAGGUGGGCAGAUCAAUUGAGGUCAGGAGUUCGAGACCAGCCUGGCCAAUAUGGUGAAACCCCGUCUCUACUAAAAAUACAAAAACUAGGCCAGGCAAGAUGGCUCACACCUGUAAUCCCAACAUUUUGGGAGGCCAAGGUGGGCAGAUCACCUGAGGUUGGGAGUUCGAGACCAGCCUGACCAACAUGGAGAAACUCUGUCUCUACUAAAAAUACAAAAUUAGCCGGGCACGGUGGCGCAUGCCUAUAAUCCCAGCUAUUUGGGAGGCUGAGGCAGGAGACUCACUUGAACCCGAGAAGCAGAGGUUGCAGUGAGCUGAGAUCAUGCCAUUGCACUCCAGCCUGGGCAUUGCACCAAGAUUCUGUCUC